rnacentral:rRNA from 1 species
GUGCGUAACGCGUAUGCAACCUACCUUUCACAGGGGGAUAGCCCGAAGAAAUUUGGAUUAAUACCCCAUAAUAUUAUUGGAUGGCAUCAUUUGAUAAUUAAAACUGCGGUGGUGAAAGAUGGGCAUGCGUCCUAUUAGCUAGUUGGAGUGGUAACGGCACCCCAAGGCUACGAUAGGUAGGGGUCCUGAGAGGGAGAUCCCCCACACUGGUACUGAGACAGGGACCAGACUCCUACGGGAGGCAGCAGUGAGGAAUAUUGGUCAAUGGUCGGAAGACUGAACCAGCCAUGCCGCGUGCAGGAAGAAUGCCUUAUGGGUUGUAAACUGCU